AUUGAACGCUGGCGGCAGGCCUAACACAUGCAAGUCGAGCGGAGCGGCGGACGGGUGCGUAAUGCCUAGGAAUCUGCCUGGCAGUGGGGGAUAACGUCCGGAAACGGGCGCUAAUACCGCAUACUAUCAGAUGAGCCUAGGCAGGUUUAGCUAGUUGGUGGGGUAAGGGCCUACCAAGGCGACGAUCCGUCACUGGUCUGAGAGGGUGACCAGUCACGCUGGAACAGAGACACGGUCCAGACUCCUACGGGAGGCAGUAGUGGGGAAUAUUGGACAAUGGGCGAAAGCCUGAUGCAGCCAUGCCGCGUGUGUGAAGAAGGUCUUCGGAUUGUAAAGCACUUUAAGUUGGGAGGCGUUACCAACAGAAUAAGCACCGGCUAACUUCGUGCCAGCAGCCGCGGUAAUUC
rnacentral:rRNA from 1 species